CCUGUAUAUUGCCGCCAAUUUCUCGGCAUUUCCAGCGGUUCAAACGUUUCUUCUGGGUUUUAGGCAAUUGCCUGGGUUUCCGUUAUUUGAAAAAGGUGUUUAAUCCCCCGAUCAAUCUAGUGGAAGGGGUGAGUCGGCCAGUGAUGUCGAGAUGAGUGCGACACCUACGUGCAUCAACGUUAAGUGGACCUUAAAGACAUCGUCAGCACCGAGAUUUGCCAGCUGGAAACGCAGUGGGGCUACACGCAAUGGAGGCACGCGUACCAC